rnacentral:lncRNA from 1 species
UAGGAGAUUGGUGUAAAUCCAUCUAUUGGUAUCCGGUAUCCGUUUUUGUUUGUGAGAUUGGAGUAAGACCAUUGAGUGGCAUCCGGUAUCACUUGUUUGCUUAUUUUGUUGUUGCUCAUUGCCUAUUCCAAAGGACACACUUGAAUCAUCUUCUAUAUGAUUUCAAGAGGUGAACAUUCUAGGAAGUUUUACAAUCCAUU